rnacentral:rRNA from 1 species
UACGUAGGUGGCAAGCGUUGUCCGGAAUUAUUGGGCGUAAAGCGCGCGCAGGCGGUCCUUUAAGUCUGAUGUGAAAGCCCCCGGCUCAACUGGGGAGGGUCAUUCGAUACUGAUCGACUCGAAGGCAGGAGAGGGUAGUGGAAUUCCCGGUGUAGUGGUGAAAUGCGUAGAUAUCGGGAGGAACACCAGUGGCGAAGGCGACUACCUGGCCUGUUCUUGACGCUGAGGCGCGAAAGCUAGGGGAGCAAACGGG